CAUGAAAAUGUAAAUGAGGGCCAGUACACAAUUGUAAACAUGGGAAUGGAGUUUAGGAGAGAAGCCAGGGCAAGAGGUAUGCAUUUUAGAGAAUACCAACCAGCAGGAAGUUACUGACCGAGGCAGGCAUGAGGGUGAAAGCAUUGCUUCCAAGGCUGAUAGGCUAGUACAAGUGGGGUUACAGGUACUUCAAAAAUCGGGGAAUGAUACAUAAUUGGUGAGGAAAAAAAAAAGGAGAAGAGUUAAAACAACUUGACCAGUGAAUAUAGUACAAACAAGUCAUUUAAACUUGGAGGAGGGUCAACCUGAGAUCUUGCUUUUUGAGAUAUAAAUUUCCCUAAUUAUAUCGGUCAUGACAGAGAGACCACGGGAAGACACCCCACUCCAUGAUGUGACUGCUGCCUGACCUGCCUCACUGCCGCGGACCUUCCCACUAGAUCAGCUAGAUCUGAGCCAGAGCAGAGGUUGCUUCCCAUAAACCUCUCAGAGACUGUCUGACCUCCGUCCUGUGCCCCAAGCAAACUGGCUCCUGGAACAGGCCCUUGCCCAGCCCCUGCGUAAGUAUGUAAGGCAUUUCCCCCUUACCUGGGGCGGGUCACAUGCUAGUAUUCCUGUCCAUCCUGUUUUGUCCUGUACAACCGCUUAGCACCUGCUGUGUAGCUCUGAGGAUAUCCAUAUCAUCUUGCUGCUGCCCACGAUGAGCCUCGUAUGUAAAUUCCCUUAAUAAACUUAUAUAGUAAUGCUGGAGUUGUCAGCCUCUUUCUUAAGGCUCUUGCCCUGAGAAAUUUUA